rnacentral:rRNA from 1 species
GAACGCUGGCGGCAUGCCUAACACAUGCAAGUCGAACGAACCCUUCGGGGUUAGUGGCGCACGGGUGCGUAACGCGUGGGAAUCUGCCCUUUGCUUCGGAAUAACAGUUAGAAAUGACUGCUAAUACCGGAUGAUGUCUUCGGACCAAAGAUUUAUCGGCAAGGGAUGAGCCCGCGUAGGAUUAGGUAGUUGGUGGGGUAAAGGCCUACCAAGCCGACGAUCCUUAGCUGGUCUGAGAGGAUGAUCAGCCACACUGGGACUGAGACACGGCCCAGACUCCUACGGGAGGCAGCAGUGGGGAAUAUUGGACAAUGGGCGCAAGCCUGAUCCAGCAAUGCCGCGUGAGUGAUGAAGGCCUUCGGGUCGUAAAGCUCUUUUACCAGGGAUGAUAAUGACAGUACCUGGAGAAUAAGCUCCGGCUAACUCCGUGCCAGCAGCCGCGGUA